UACGUAGGGGCCGAGCGUUGUCCGGAGUUAUUGGGCGUAAAGCGCGCGCAGGCGGCCUCGCGCGCCCGACGUGAAAGCCCCCGGCUUAACCGGGGAGGGUCGUUGGGGACGGCGGGGCUUGAGGGCGAGAGAGGUCGGUGGAAUUCCCGGUGUAGCGGUGAAAGUGCGUAGAGAUCGGGAAGAACGCCGGCGGCGAAAGCGACUCUCUGGUCGGAUCCUGACGCUGAGGCGCGGAAAGCUAAGGGGAGCAAACGGGGG
rnacentral:rRNA from 1 species